rnacentral:rRNA from 1 species
GACGAACGCUGGCGGCGUGCUUAACACAUGCAAGUCGAGCGGUAAGGCCCUUUCGGGGGUACACGAGCGGCGAACGGGUGAGUAACACGUGGGUGACCUGCCCUCAGCUCUGGGAUAAGCCUGGGAAACUGGGGUCUAAUACCGGAUAUGACUCCAUGACGCAUGUUGUGGGGUGGAAAGCCUUGUGCGGCUGAGGAUGGGCCCGCGGCCUAUCAGCUUGUUGGUGGGGUGAGGCCUACCAAGGCGACGACGGGUAGCCGGCCUGAGAGGGCGACCGGCCACACUGGGACUGAGACACGGCCCAGACUCCUACGGGAGGCAGCAGUGGGGAAUCUUGCGCAA